GCGCUGCCUUUGAACUCCCGCUGCGCCUGCGCGUGGCGCCGGGGGUCAGGCUGCAGCGCCAGAGCAGAUGCUCGCGCAUAACUGGGGCCGACUGUUCCCCCACCUUGGCGGCCUUUUUAACCGCGAGCGACACUG